GACGAACGCUGGCGGCGUGCUUAACACAUGCAAGUCGAACGGAAAGGCCCUGCUUUUGUGGGGUGCUCGAGUGGCGAACGGGUGAGUAACACGUGAGUAACCUGCCCUUGACUUUGGGAUAACUUCAGGAAACUGGGGCUAAUACCGGAUAUGAUCUCCUGCUGCAUGGUGGGGGUUGGAAAGUUUCGGCGGUUGGGGAUGGACUCGCGGCUUAUCAGCUUGUUGGUGGGGUAGUGGCUUACCAAGGCUUUGACGGGUAGCCGGCCUGAGAGGGUGACCGGCCACAUUGGGACUGAGAUACGGCCCAGAAGCCUACGGGAGGCAGCAGUGGGGAAUAUUGCACAAUGGGCGGAAGCCUGAUGCAGCAACGCCGCGUGCGGGAUGACGGCCUUCGGGUUGUAAACAGCUUUCGACGGUGACGAAGAGUGAGUGACGGUAAUGGGUAAAGAAGCACCGGCUAACUACGUG
rnacentral:rRNA from 1 species